rnacentral:rRNA from 1 species
CAACUUGAGAGUUUGAUCCUGGCUCAGAACGAACGCUGGCGGCAGGCCUAACACAUGCAAGUCGAACGCUCCAGCAAUGGAGAGUGGCAGACGGGUGAGUAACGCGUGGGAACCUACCCUUUGGUUCGGAAUAGCCCAGGGAAACUUGGGGUAAUACCGGAUAAGCCCUUCGGGGGAAAGAUUUAUCGCCGAAGGAUGGGCCCGCGUCGGAUUAGCUAGUUGGUGGGGUAACGGCCUACCAAGGCGACGAUCCGUAGCUGGUCUGAGAGGAUGAUCAGCCA